UACAGAGGUGGCAAGCGUUGUUCGGAAUUACUGGGCGUAAAGCGUGCGCAGGCGGUUUUGUAAGUCUGUCGUGAAAUCCCCGGGCUUAACCUGGGAAUGGCGAUGGAGACUGCAAGGCUAGAGUUUGGCAGAGGGGGGUAGAAUUCCACGUGUAGCAGUGAAAUGCGUAGAGAUGUGGAGGAACACCGAUGGCGAAGGCAGCCCCCUGGGUCAAAACUGACGCUCAUGCACGAAAGCGUGGGGAGCAAACAGG
rnacentral:rRNA from 1 species